rnacentral:lncRNA from 1 species
GGAUUACUUCACAACUUUUGCUUCGUUGUUGUAGUGUUAUGUAAAGAGAAUACUUAUAUUCUUUCAACUUAUAUUUAUAAUUGCUAUUACUUGCUGGGCACUCAAAUGCUCAUCCUUGCUUAAAUUAAAUGUUUUCAGUUACGUACGAUCGACCUGAAGGCUCAGGCACGAACAAGGAAAAAGAAAAGCUAUUCGAAUGAGAUUUAGUAUGAGUUAAUGGUUAUAGUUAGUAAGACAAUGGAAUCUAUUGUCAGAUAUUGUAAGGAAUGUAUUUGAAGGUCACGUACCUGGGGAAGUAAACUUUGAUGUAUGUAAAUUAAGUUCGAAUGUAUUAUUAUUUAGUAUUAUUCAGCUUAAAGAAAUGGUAUCGUGGAGAACCGAGU